CCUACGGGUGGCUGCAGUGAGGAAUAUUGGUCAAUGGACGAGAGUCUGAACCAGCCAAGUAGCGUGAAGGAUGACUGCCCUAUGGGUUGUAAACUUCUUUUAUAUGGGAAUAAAAUGCUCCACGUGUGGGAUUUUGUAUGUACCAUAUGAAUAAGGAUCGGCUAACUCCGUGCCAGCAGCCGCGGUAAUACGGAGGAUCCGAGCGUUAUCCGGAUUUAUUGGGUUUAAAGGGGGCGUAGGUGGAUUGUUAAGUGAGUUGUGAAAGGUUGCGGCUAAACCGUAAAAUUGCCGUUGAUACUGGCAGUCUUGAGUACAGUAGAGGUGGGCGGAAUUCGUGGUGUAGCGGUGAAAUGCUUAGAUAUCACGCAGAACACCGAUUGCGAAGGCAGCUCACUAAACUGCAACUGACACUGAGGCUCGAAAGUGUGGGUAGCAAACAGGAUUAGAUACCCGGGUAGUC
rnacentral:rRNA from 1 species